GUGCGAACCCUAGCCCCAAUCCACAGCCCCCACGCCCCUCACUCCUCCCUCCCUCGUCCGCCUCCACGCUCCCUCCCUCCUCCCUCCUCUUCCUCCUCCCUCGUCUCCACGGCCUCUGCCCUAGGAGCCCCACCGCCGACAGCUACUCCACCACCACGCCCCUUCCUCCUCCUCGCCUUCCCAUCGCUCGUGCACAGGUCGCUGUUGUGGCAGAUCAGGGACAGUGCUGGGUCGUCAAGAUGGGGUGGUUACGAAGGCUUCCCAGCCCAACGACGUUGUCAUGGGAGGAGGCUCACCAUCGAAGAGUAGCCGCAGGUGCACAGCAUCCAAAGAGGUGCAGCCGGGAGGAGGUGAGGAUAAGUCGCUUGAUUUACAAGAGCAGAGCAGCGGAUUGGAUCGAGGGGGCCUGCAUGUCCACGCCGCCUAGAGUCACCCUGACUGUCGUCUCAAGCUGCAACCGCGAGUCAACUACACCACUGCCGCCAGGAAUCCCAUCCCCAGCAAGGGAAGUUCAGUGACAUAAAGACACAUGAGAUAUUCAGUUAUGUUGAUUGGGGAAAUUAAUGAUCAUUCAGUCAACAAAUGGGGCAGUAUUCUGAUCUUAUUUCAUCUCAUGCAUUGAUUAUUUAUUGUCUUCUUUGCAUACAUAUUUUAUUAAUUAUUCAUAUAUACUUGUUGUAUCUUUGUACUGCUGUUUUUAAAAAUUGCCAUAUCCUAUGUGCUUGUUUCCAUAUCGACGUAUAUGUGUUGUUAUAUGGUGCUUCAUAGCAAAAACUUAUACUUACUAAAGAAAGUGUUCCUUUUGUUGGUCCCAUUGCUCCAUAAGCAUGAUCACGUUUCUACUAAUUGAUUAUACAUAUGAUCUUUCUUUUGAUUAUUUUGCGAUACUUCUGAUUGACACUAUGAGGUGCUUCCUUGUCAUGCAGAUUCAUCCUUUACUUAAAUACUGAUGAUGAUAUGGUUGUAAAUUAGUCUGGGAUGGCAAGGCAGCUUGAAGGUGGUCACGGCCAUCUCGCAGAGAUGGUGCAAGCUGUCAAGAAUCACGGUGCCGGGGCACUGCACUUCACCGACGGGUGCAAGAUGGUGGAAGUGUAUUUUAAGCUUGGUGUAUAAACAUACAUGUCACUCACUGUAUGUAACUUUCAGUGCAAGAUUAAUAUAGGGGAUAAAUCAUUAUGGAAGGUAUAUGAUUGAAUAGCAAAUUGGAUGGAUUUACUGUCAUAUCAUUUAUUUGUGACUGCAUGAUCUGAAUUGCGCAUCUCUGAAAAUAUGUUAGGCUCUUGCCCUUGGAAGAUUAGACUGAUGUGGUGUUGAUUUGUAAAUAAAUGGCAUGCUUACCAUUUUGAUUUAGGUGUGUAGGCAGAAGCGAAAAAAGAAUCAUAAUCUCAGGUUUAGGCAUGCACAUGGCCACUGAUCACAAAUAAAUAGGAACAAAUGCAGUAUUGUGAUUUUGAGCAAGAGA